GGUAGGUGAACCUGCGGAAGGAUCAUUG
rnacentral:rRNA from 2 species